UAGGGAAUCUUCGGCAAUGGGGGCAACCCUGACCGAGCAACGCCGCGUGAGUGAAGAAGGUUUUCGGAUCGUAAAGCUCUGUUGUAAGAGAAGAACGUGUGUGAGAGUGGAAAGUUCACACAGUGACGGUAACUUACCAGAAAGGGACGGCUAACUACGUGCCAGCAGCCGCGGUAAUACGUAGGUCCCGAGCGUUGUCCGGAUUUAUUGGGCGUAAAGCGAGCGCAGGCGGUUUAAUAAGUCUGAAGUUAAAGGCAGUGGCUUAACCAUUGUUCGCUUUAGAAACUGUUAAACUUGAGUGCAGAAGGGGAGAGUGGAAUUCCAUGUGUAGCGGUGAAAUGCGUAGAUAUAUGGAGGAACACCGGUGGCGAAAGCGGCUCUCUGGUCUGUAACUGACGCUGAGGCUCGAAAGCGUGGGGAGCAAACAGG
rnacentral:rRNA from 1 species